rnacentral:rRNA from 1 species
AACGUAGGAGGCGAGCGUUAUCCGGAGUUACUGGGCGUAAAGCGCGUGUAGGCGGUUGGUUAGGUCAGAUGUGAAAGCUCCCAGGCUAAACCGGGAGAGGACAUUUGAAACCGGCGAACUAGAGGAUAGCAGAGGGGUACGGAAUUCCGGGUGUAGUGGUGAAAUGCGUAGAGAUCCGGAGGAACACCAGUGGCGAAGGCGGUGCCCUGGGCUAAACCUGACGCUGAGACGCGAAAGCAUGGGGAGCGAA